rnacentral:rRNA from 1 species
UACGUAGGGCGCAAGCGUUGUUCGGAAUUACUGGGCGUAAAGGGCUCGUAGGCGGCCAACUAAGUCAGACGUGAAAUCCCUCGGCUUAACUGAGGACGCGCGGAAGAAACUGCAAGGCUCGAGUCCGGGAGAGGGGGGUGGAAUUCCCAGUGUAGCGGUGAAAUGCGUAGAUAUUGGGAGGAACACCGGUGGCGAAGGCGGCCCCCUGGACCGGUACUGACGCUGAGGCGCGAAAGCGUGGGUAGCAAACGGG